GAAAUGAGAGAAAAAAAAGCGAACAAGAAACCUUGAUGUGAAAACAGGUCUGACAGUUGAGCUCUGUAGAGAGAGAGAGAGAGAGAGAGAGAGAGAGAGAGAGAGAGAGAGAGAGAGAUUCUGUGGGCCGGCCAUGUGACCCUCCCCGGGCUCUGCUACAGCCCUACCUGUCCCGACUGUUUUUAUUCGAUGAGUCGACAUGAACGGCAUCGCACAAGUGGCUACAGUCUGCCAUAUGUCUGGCAUCCAUCGCCUGUUUACACCUCUCCCUUUCACAGCUCUGAAUUCGAUUUGAAUACCACAAUUGUAUUUCCGUUUUGCUGCCAGAUGGUUAAAAACAGUGUCAUAAGUUUAACAUUCAGUAGUAUUUUCAUUCACGCACUGACUUCCCGUUCGUUUAGGGCUUUCUCCUAAAUCAACGGGAGUGGAUUCCGAGGAUUCCUUUGCAUUAUGCAUUCAAAUCAAGAUCAACAAGCAGCCUGUUUGUUUAGCUCUGCAUCUUUGGAGGGAAUAACCUGAAUACGCCCGCUGAUUAAAGCAGGUAUUUCCUCACGGUGGAACAAGCCGCGGGAUGAGGAGAUCAGACGAGGAUCUUCAGAGGAGAUGUUUUUCCGAGCGGGGAUCCACUCGCGGCGUCACCGGCUUGACAGUUUGGAGCCUCGUACAAGCGCGCCCCGAGACAGAGCAACGUGUUAAUCCCAGUGGGGCGCCGCAGCUUUGAUAUGCGUGUACGUAUUUGCACUGUAGAGUGGAGCACUUGAGCGCUCCCCUGAGAGGACUUUUAGGGGAACGUUUCUUAGAACAAAGACGACUGCGUUCCCCCACAGGUCCCAGCGCCUCUGGACUCACUGCCGGCACAAGCGGUUGGUUUUUAAAGAGGGAAAAAAUACGCCAAGGCUUUUGGAGAAGCCUAAAUGUUUCAAUCGUUCCCUUUGGCUCUGUGUGCAAUGAGUCGGCCUGUCUGGUCUGCGUCUGCGCCCCUCAAAAACAAAGAACGCAACCGAGUGGCAGGAAGUCUGCACCUGCCUCGCUUCCUGUCGAUAAAGACAUUAUGAUUUUUUUUUUGGUUUUGCGCCUGGGAGAUGAAUCGCAGUCUGGUGUACUCUUUAACGACAGCCUGAGAUAGUCAUCAACCGAAACUCCAAUAUCCUGCGCGCGUCAGACGAGAAAUCUGUGAUCCGAGAUCGCUGUGGGAUAGAAACCGUGAUCUGGUCAAACCAUUACUUCCCCCCUUCGAGGAUCGUCUUCACAGCCCCCGAAGAACACAGCGUAACACCCGCCGCAGUUCGUGCAGACAGAGGGGUGGCCACUAACAGCCUGUCACGUAUUAAACUGUUGUUGCUUUAUGGGAGGAUUCCGCUUCGAAAAACCCAUCGCGUCGACCGCCAACGGCGAUUUGAGGGUCCGCCAAAAAAACGAUAUUGCAAUGCAUCAGACAAAUCGUGCAACGCGUCUUUGCGUCCAUACGUGGCCCCUCCGCUAAUAAAACCGUUAACAAGCCAACAAAUCUGGACCCCCAUCGUAGAACGGUGUCCGAGAGAGAGGGGGGAUCUGAUGUUCGGGGUGAGGACCCUCCCGUGGCUGUGCAUCUUUUAAAAAAAAGUGAUGAUCUGUCAGUAUCGGUGGCAGCGUGAGAAAGGAGGGGGAGGGAAGGAGAGGGCCAUGGCUCUAUUUACAAUGGACCAUCAAUUACUGAUCCGACGGAGACACAGGCUGGGCGCAACACCCAGGCACGCACGCACACACACACACACACACACACACACACAGACACACACACACACACACACACACACACAGAGCUAAACGCUUGUAAAACAGUAAUUACGCGGGUCUAAUCUGAACAUGCACAUGCACAUAUAUAUAAAAGACACACUUGCUCGUGCACGCCAGAGCGAGCUUAGGAAUGGUCAACGCACACAUUACAUAAUUGAUGUCUCUGGCAGUGGGCAACACAGACAUCACAACCCUGUUUUUCUUCUUCCCUUACCUUACCCACACACAUACUGCAUAGACAAUUAGAAAGGCGUACACACAGACAAAUACACACACACACACACACACACACACACACACUGGUCAUGUUCACGCCGGUUGUCAGAAGCACUAUUAGACACGCAUACACACAGACACACACACACACACGGGAAAAGAAACAGGUUCCCGUGGUAUUCCUAAACAACAAGGACAGCUGUGGGUACCUCAGUGUUGUCGGACGUCAGGGUUCCUUCUCCUCUCCUUCUCUUCCCCUCCAACGGUCUCUCUGUCUCUGUGUGUCUCCGUCUGUGUUACCUCAACGCAAACACGCGCGCACGCACCACUCACUCACACACACACACACUGAGGAGCGCUGUGUGAAUCUGACAGAAUCCCCUUAGCUCGGUGUGAUCUCCCUCUCGCUCUCGCUCUCUCGCUCGGUCUGUGACGACUGUGCACGAGCGCGCACAAACACACACACACACACUCGCGUGCACAUGCACACAUACACUUGAAAACAGCCCUCCCUCUUGCGUUUCCCUCCCCUACGCUCUGUAUCUCCCUCUCCCUCUCUCUCUCU
ensembl:lncRNA